UAAUACGAUGGGCUGGUACUAAUGCCGC
rnacentral:sRNA from 1 species